rnacentral:sRNA from 1 species
GCUGGGCAUGGUGGCGCAUGCCUGUAAUCCCAGUGGUAGGCUGAGGCAGGAGGAUCGCAAGUUCAAAGUCAGCCACAGCAACAGCCAGGCACUGAGCAACUCAGUGAGACCCUGUCUCUA